rnacentral:rRNA from 1 species
UAGGGAAUCUUCGGCAAUGGACGAAAGUCUGACCGAGCAACGCCGCGUGAGUGAAGAAGGUUUUCGGAUCGUAAAACUCUGUUGUUAGAGAAGAACAAGGACGUUAGUAACUGAACGUCCCCUGCUGGUAUCUAACCAGAAAGCCACGGCUAACUACGUGCCAGCAGCCGCGGUAAUACGUAGGUGGCAAGCGUUGUCCGGAUUUAUUGGGCGUAAAGCGAGCGCAGGCGGUUUCUUAAGUCUGAUGUGAAAGCCCCCGGCUCAACCGGGGAGGGUCAUUGGAAACUGGGAGACUUGAGUGCAGAAGAGGAGAGUGGAAUUCCAUGUGUAGCGGUGAAAUGCGUAGAUAUAUGGAGGAACACCAGUGGCGAAGGCGGCUCUCUGGUCUGUAACUGACGCUGAGGCUCGAAAGCGUGGGGAGCAAACAGG